GGGUCAGUAGGUUGGUCGUGCCACCGGUACGUACUGGUCUCACUGAUUCCUCCUUCCUGAAGAACCGUAAUGCCAUUAAUUUGGUGUUGCGGGGAACCAGGACUGUUACUUUGAAAAAAUUAGAGUGUUUAAAGCAAGCUAACGCUUGAAUACAUUAGCAUGGAAUAAUGAAAUAGGACGAUCGAUCCUAUUUUUUUGGUUUCUAGGAUUGACGUA
rnacentral:rRNA from 1 species